rnacentral:rRNA from 1 species
GACGAACGCUGGCGGCGUGCCUAAUACAUGCAAGUAGAACGCUGAAGACUUUAGCUUGCUAAAGUUGGAAGAGUUGCGAACGGGUGAGUAACGCGUGGGUAACCUGCCUUACACAGGGGGACAACAGUUGGAAACGACUGCUAAUACCGCAUAAGCGCACGGUAUCGCAUGAUAUAGUGUGAAAAGAUUUAUCGGUGUAAGAUGGACCCGCGUCUGAUUAGAUAGUUGGUGAGGUAACGGCUCACCAAGUCGACGAUCAGUAGCCGGCCUGAGAGGGUGAACGGCCACAUUGGGACUGAGACACGGCCCAAACUCC